GUAUCAGACUUCCUGUUUAAGCGCUGCAUUCGCUCUAGAAUUAUAGCUUUACAAUGUGAGUUCGGCCAUUUCGACUUUUCUUCCAACGCAGUGUAGUUGCUACUCUUGCACAAUUGAGAGUAAGGAUUAUACAAAAUGGUGAAUGGAAGAAUACCUUCAGUUUUCUCAAAAACUUAUGUUACCCCAAGAAGACCUUAUGAAAAAGCUCGUUUAGAUCAAGAAUUACGAAUUAUUGGUGAAUAUGGCCUUCGUAACAAGCGUGAAGUAUGGAGAGUUAAAUAUACUCUCGCAAAUAUUCGAAAAGCUGCUCGAGAACUUCUUACUUUAGAAGAGAAGGAUCCUAAACGUUUAUUUGAGGGAAAUGCUCUUUUACGUCGUUUGGUAAGAAUUGGAGUACUAGAUGAAAGCCGUAUGAAGCUUGAUUAUGUUCUUGGUUUGAAAAUUGAAGAUUUUUUAGAAAGACGACUCCAAACUCAAGUAUUUAAAUUAGGGCUUGCCAAGUCUAUACAUCAUGCUCGUGUACUUAUUCGUCAACGUCAUAUUAGACAGGCCACUUAAGUGUUAGUAAAACUACACUUAACGUCUGUUAUGUAUUAAUGGAUACAUAUUAUAUUUUCUUUCAGACAGGCCACUUAAGUGUUAGUGUAACUACACUUAACGUCUGUUAUAUAUUAACGGAUAUAAAUUCAUUUUAAAAAUAAUUGAGUACGCAAACAAGUGGUGAACAUUCCAUCUUUCAUUGUAAGAUUGGAUUCACAGAAACAUAUUGACUUUUCACUAAAAUCUCCAUUUGGUGGUGGCAGACCUGGCCGUGUAAAAAGGAAGAAUCUGCGUAAAGGAAGUGGAGGAGCUGCUCCAGAAGAAGAAGAAGAUUAAAUAAUUUUUUGUAAUACUUUAUCUAAUAAAAGUAUGCCUUAAAUUUUA